rnacentral:lncRNA from 10 species
ACCCUAGAAACAUUAAAAGCUUUUAGUUAGGCAGCUGCAGUAGCUCACUCCUGUAAUCCCAGCACUUUGGGAGGCUGAGGCAGAAGGGUUGCUUGAGCCGAGGAGUUGAAGACCAGCCUAGGCAACGUGGGAAACCCCAUCUAUACAAAAAAUGUUUAAAACUUGAAGUAUCUCACAUUGUUCAGUUUGCAGACUUUCUUUCCCACUUAUUUUCAGUACUGUGCCACUCUCCAUCCUGAGUGUAAGCCUGUGUGGUUCAAACCUCCAGUUUUCUCGUGCAUAGGGGGAGAAGGGCUUUGUUCUGUGUUUUGUUUUAGCUGGCUGGUGUUUGAGUAGGAGUCAAGCUAACUGCUUUACUGGCUUUUAACCAGCCCUUCUCUUUUAGCGCCAUCUUUCA